GGCGGCGGACGGGUGAGUAAUGCUUAGGAAUCUGCCUAUUAGUGGGGGACAACAUCUCGAAAGGGAUGCUAAUACCGCAUACGUCCUACGGGAGAAAGCAGGGGAUCUUCGGACCUUGCGCUAAUAGAUGAGCCUAAGUCGGAUUAGCUAGUUGGUGGGGUAAAGGCCUACCAAGGCGACGAUCUGUAGCGGGUCUGAGAGGAUGAUCCGCCACACUGGGACUGAGACACGGCCCAGACUCCUACGGGAGGCAGCAGUGGGGAAUAUUGGACAAUGGGGGGAACCCUGAUCCAGCCAUGCCGCGUGUGUGAAGAAGGCCUUAUGGUUGUAAAGCACUUUAAGCGAGGAGGAGGCUACUUUAGUUAAUACCUAGAGAUAGUGGACGUUACUCGCAGAAUAAGCACCGGCUAACUCUGUGCCAGCAGCCGCGGUAAUACAGAGGGUGCGAGCGUUAAUCGGAUUUACUGGGCGUAAAGCGUGCGUAGGCGGCUUAUUAAGUCGGAUGUGAAAUCCCCGAGCUUAACUUGGGAAUUGCAUUCGAUACUGGUGAGCUAGAGUAUGGGAGAGGAUGGUAGAAUUCCAGGUGUAGCGGUGAAAUGCGUAGAGAUCUGGAGGAAUACCGAUGGCGAAGGCAGCCAUCUGGCCUAAUACUGACGCUGAGGUACGAAAGCAUGGGGAGCAAACAGGAUUAGAUACCCUGGUAGUCCAUGCCGUUAAACGAUGUCUACUAGCCGUUGGGGGCCUUUGAGGCUUUAGUGGCGCAGCUAACGCGAUAAGUAGACCGCCUGGGGGAGUACGG
rnacentral:rRNA from 1 species